ACGCUAGCUACAGGCUUAACACAUGCAAGUCGAGGGCAGCGGGUUGAAAGCUUGCUUUCAAUGCCGGCGACCGGCGCACGGGUGCGUAACGCGUAUCAAACCUGCCUCAUACUCGGGGAUAGCCUUGCGAAAGUAAGAUUAAUACCCGAUGUUGUUGCUUUCUCGCAUGGGAGAGUAACCAAAGAUUUAUCGGUAUGAGAUGGUGAUGCGUCCGAUUAGGUAGUAGGCGGGGUAACGGCCCACCUAGCCUUCGAUCGGUAGGGGUUCUGAGAGGAAGGUCCCCCACACUGGAACUGAGACACGGUCCAGACUCCUACGGGAGGCAGCAGUGAGGAAUAUUGGUCAGUGGGCGAGAGCCUGAACCAGCCAAGUAGCGUGCAGGAUGACGGCCCUCCGGGUUGUAAACUGCUUUUAGUUGGGAAUAAAAAAAGGGACUUGUCCCUUCUUGUAUGUACCUUCAGAAAAAGGACCGGCUAAUUCCGUGCCAGCAGCCGCGGUAAUACGGAAGGUCCAGGCGUUAUCCGGAUUUAUUGGGUUUAAAGGGAGCGUAGGCGGAUUGUUAAGUCAGCGGUUAAAGGGUGUGGCUCAACCAUGCAUUGCCGUUGAAACUGGCGAUCUUGAGUGCAGACAGGGAUGCCGGAAUUCGUGGUGUAGCGGUGAAAUGCUUAGAUAUCACGAAGAACUCCGAUCGCGAAGGCAGGUGUCCGGGCUGCAACUGACGCUGAGGCUCGAAAGUGUGGGUAUCAAACAGGAUUAGAUACCCUGGUAGUCCACACAGUAAACGAUGUAUACUCGCGGUUUGCGAUAGAUUGUAAGCCGCCAAGCGAAAGCAUUAAGUAUACCACCUGGGGAGUACGCCGGCUACGGUGAAACUCAAAGGAAUUGACGGGGGCCCGCACAAGCGGAGGAAC
rnacentral:rRNA from 1 species